CGGCGGACGGGGAGUAAUGCUUAGGAAUCUGCCUAUUAGUGGGGGACACAUUCCGAAAGGGAUGCUAAUCGCAUACUCCCUACGGGGGAAAGCAGGGGAUUUUCGGACCUUGCGUUAAUAGAUGAGUCUAAGUCGGAUUAGUAGUUGGUGGGGUAAAGGCCUACCAAGGCGACGAUCUGUAGCGGGUUGAGAGGAUGAUCCGCCACACUGGGAUGAGACACGGCCCAGACUCCUACGGGAGGCAGCAGUGGGGAAUAUUGGACAAUGGGGGGAACCCUGAUCCAGCCAUGCCGCGUGUGUGAAGAAGGCCUUUUGGUUGUAAAGCACUUUUAAGCGAGGAGGAGGCGCUCUAAGGAAUAAUACCC
rnacentral:rRNA from 1 species